UAAUGAUUCAUCAGACUCAGAUAUUUAAGUUAACAGUAUUUGAGAAUGAUGAAUCAUUAGG
rnacentral:pre_miRNA from 1 species